AUCGUGAAUGUUACGGUUCCAUAUUUUUCGAUUAUUCAUUUAAUUUGUGUAUUCCAUUUCAUAAGUUUUAUUUUUGUUGUUAAUGCAAUCCAUGCUCUACAAAUUGUUUUGGUCGUUUUGUAAUAUUUGCAUUGUUGAUUUUUCUUGAUUUCUUGCAGGUUUUGUGUUGUGAAAUCUACCCUUUAGCUGAAAAGGUAAACUUUAAUGUUUUCGAAACAUAAACCUGAAAGAUCUGACUUGUUUUUAUAAUUUUUAUAUUGAUUUGUGUCUUAUUUUUCUUAUUCAUUUUCUACCGCUACUAUGUUACAAAAUCUACAGCUCGGUUAAAAGGUACGAUUUAUUGUUUUUUCAACAUAGAACCUAUAAAUCUAACUACGUGCGAUAAUUUGUAGGACGAUUUCU
rnacentral:lncRNA from 1 species